GCAUAUCAAUAAGCGGAGGAAAAGAAACUAACAAGGAUUCCCCUAGUAGCGGCGAGCGAAGCGGGAAGAGCUCAAAUUUAUAAUCUGGCACCUUCGGUGUCCGAGUUGUAAUCUCUAGAAAUGUUUUCCGCGUUGGACCGCACACAAGUCUGUUGGAAUACAGCGGCAUAGUGGUGAGACCCCCGUAUAUGGUGCGGACGCCCAGCGCUUUGUGAUACAUUUUCGAAGAGUCGAGUUGUUUGGGAAUGCAGCUCAAAUUGGGUGGUAAAUUCCAUCUAAAGCUAAAUAUUGGCGAGAGACCGAUAGCGAACAAGUACCGUGAGGGAAAGAUGAAAAGCACUUUGGAAAGAGAGUUAACAGUACGUGAAAUUGUUGGAAGGGAAACGCUUGAAGUCAGACUUGCUUGCCGAGCAAUCGGUUUGCAGGCCAGCAUCAGUUUUCCGGGAUGGAUAAUGGUAGAGAGAAGGUAGCAGUUUCGGCUGUGUUAUAGCUCUCUGCUGGAUACAUCUUGGGGGACUGAGGAACGCAGUGUGCCUUUGGCGGGGGUUUCGACCUCUUCACACUUAGGAUGCUGGUGGACUGGCUUUAAACGACCCCGUCUUGAAACACGGACC
rnacentral:rRNA from 1 species